rnacentral:rRNA from 1 species
GACGAACGCUGGCGGCGUGCCUAAUACAUGCAAGUCGUGCGGACCUUUUAAAAGCUUGCUUUUAAAAGGUUAGCGGCGGACGGGUGAGUAACACGUGGGCAACCUGCCUGUAAGACUGGGAUAACGCCGGGAAACCGGGGCUAAUACCAGAUCGUUUUUUCCUCCGCAUGGAGGAAAAAGGAAAGGCGGCUUCGGCUGCCACUUACAGAUGGGCCCGCGGCGCAUUAGCUAGUUGGCGGGGUAACGGCCCACCAAGGCAACGAUGCGUAGCCGACCUGAGAGGGUGAUCGGCCACAUUGGGACUGAGACACGGCCCAAACUCCUACGGGAGGCAGCAGUAGGGAAUCGUCCGCAAUGGACGAAAGUCUGACGGAGCAACGCCGCGUGAGUGAAGAAGGCCUUCGGGUCGUAAAACUCUGUUGCCGGGGAAGAACAAGUGCCGUUCGAACAGGGCGGCGCCUUGACGGUACCCGGCCAGAAAGCCACGGCUAACUACGU